rfam:Rattus norvegicus chromosome 5, whole genome shotgun sequence.
GGGGAUUUAGCUCAGCGGUAGAGCAUUUGCCUAGCGAGCGCAAGGCCCUGGGUUCGGUCCCCAGCUCCG